GUAAUAUUCUAUGUUCAAGGUUCCCUCCCACUCUGGCAUUCUAUGUUCUAAGAAAGAUCCCAUCUAGCUCCUACAUUCUAAGUUCUAAGGUCUCUCUCAGCUCUGUCAUUCCCUGUUCUGAGGUCCCCUCUAGUUCUGACCUUCCCUGUUCUGAGGUCCCCUCUAGCUCUGACCUUCCCUGUUCUCAGGUCCCCUCUAGUUCUGACAUUCCCUGUCCUCAGGUCCCCUCUAGCUCUGACAUUCCCUGUCCUCAGGUCCCCUCUAGCUCUGACCUUCCCUGUUCUCAGGUCCCCUCUAGUUCUGACAUUCCCUGUCCUCAGGUCCCCUCUAGUUCUGACCUUCCCUGUUCUGAGGUCCCCUCUAGCUCUGACAUUCCCUGUCCUCAGGUCCCCUCUAGUUCUGACCUUCCCUGUUCUGAGGUCCCCUCUAGUUCUGACAUUCCCUGUUCUGAGGUCCCCUCUAGUUCUGACCUUCCCUGUUCUGAGGUCCCCUCUAGUUCUGACCUUCCCUGUUCUGAGGUCCCCUCUAGCUCUGACCUUCCCUGUUCUCAGGUCCCCUCUAGUUCUGACAUUCCCUGUCCUCAGGUCCCCUCUAGUUUUGACAUUCCCUGUCCUCAGGUCCCCUCUAGCUCUGACAUUCCCUGUCCUCAGGUCCCCUCUAGUUCUGACCUUCCCUGUUCUGAGGUCCCCUCUAGUUCUGACCUUCCCUGUUCUGAGGUCCCCUCUAGUUCUGACCUUCCCUGUUCUCAGGUCCCCUCUAGCUCUGACAUUCCCUGUUCUGAGGUCCCCUCUAGUUCUGACCUUCCCUGUUCUGAGGUCCCCUCUAGUUCUGACCUUCCCUGUUCUCAGGUCCCCUCUAGCUCUGACAUUCCCUGUCCUCAGGUCCCCUCUAGUUCUGACAUUCCCUGUUCUCAGGUCCCCUCUAGUUCUGACCUUCCCUGUUCUCAGGUCCCCUCUAGCUCUGACAUUCCCUGUCCUCAGGUCCCCUCUAGUUCUGACAUUCCCUGUCCUCAGGUCCCCUCUAGCUCUGACAUUCCCUGUUCUCAGGUCCUCUCUAGCUCUGACAUUCCCUGUCCUCAGGUCCCCUCUAGCUCUGACAUUCCCUGUUCUCAGGUCCCCUCUAGCUCUGACAUUCCCUGUUCUAAUGCCUCCUUCUCAGCUCAAUAUUCUCUGUACUAAGGUUCUUCCUAGCUCUAAUAUUGUGUGUUCUAAGGCCAUAUCCAGUUCUGACAUUCUAUGUGCUAAGCUCCUUUUAGCGCUGACAUUCCAGGUUCUAAGGUCUCUAGUAGCUCUGAUACUACCUGUUCUUUUCUUUUCUUUAUUUCUAA
rnacentral:lncRNA from 1 species